GAAAUGCGAUAAGUAGUGUGAAUUGCAGAAUUCAGUGAAUCAUCGAAUCUUUGAACGCACAUUGCGCCCCUUGGUAUUCCAUGGGGCAUGCCUGUUCGAGCGUCAUUUGUACCCUCAAGUUCUGCUUGGUGUUGGGUGUUUGUCCCGUCUCCGCGCGUGGACUCGCCCCAAAGUGAUUGGCAGCCGGCGUACUGGUCCCGGAGCGCAGCACAUGUCGCGCAAACGAGUGCCUUGGUACGGCGGCGUCCAUAAGCCCCUCUCUCACGCUCUUGACCUCGGAUCAGGUAGGGAUACCCGCUGAACUUAAGC
rnacentral:misc_RNA from 1 species